GUUGGAGACAAUACCAAGUCACUGGAAAUUUGUAACUAACUGAUAUCUCCCGUUGUCUAGAUCUAUCUUGUCUUCUUCCUAGAUCUGGUCAGUGAUAAGGUAAAUAACCCUUGUUCUCUUUUCCCCCAUCCCAUUUUUUUAUGUUGGAUCUUUCAUCAUGGGUCUCUGGUGGAAGCACCUACCCGGUUCUUUGUAAAUCUAGUUGGUGGAAAACCAUAAGAUUCAGAUCUGCUUCUUCUCUCUUUUCCAUCCGUAUAUCUAAGGCUAAGUGUGAGUUGACAUGAUUCAUCGCUGGAGAGGACAUACAGCAUGCAUGUGUGUGAUGUAAGAACAUAGUAGCAUGAUGUCGUGAAGACAACGUGAAACGUAUGAAAAUGGUGGCGGAUCAAGCUUGAAUCAAUGUCGGUAACUUGAUUGCGUGAAGGUGUGAGACAGCAUGAUGUCGUAAAGACAAUGUGAUAUGAGUUCUCACGUGAUAACAAGAGGAACGCGAAGACCGAAUGAGGUGGCGUUGUCUCAUGUUGGCACCGCCAAGGUUUAUUUUCGUUUCUUGUCGAUUGAUCAUAUUGAUGUGUACAGUAAUAGGGAAUGCAAAAGUAGUAUUGUUGGACCAUUGACUCUUCCUGAGUAAGAGACUUGGGACCUAAAGUAGAUGUUCGAAUAGGAGGAACACGGUGUAAAGAAAGAAACCAUAACCCUUUUCUUUUUGGUGGGUUUUAGAACACUGAUCUUUUGGGCCCUAUACAUAUAUAGACAUGUGUUUUGAUUUUUAAAGUGCUGGCAUACGGAAAUAGGCCCACGGAAAGCCCAUUAGUAAUUCAAAAGUCGGGUAAAAAGAUAAGAAAAGAGUAGAGGAGAUCAGAAACGCCGCAAGACUUCUUCAUUGUUACUCAUCUUCUCCGUCUCUCUCUCUCUCUCUCUCGAGGAGAAUCGAUCUCGUGUUCUGUCCAAUGGUUCUCUGUCAUUCUUUCUCAUCUUCCGGCGAUCUUGUAUCUUUUUUGUUUGUUUUGGCCGUGGUAGCUACAAAUUCAAUUGAGUGAGUAGUCGUCAUUUCGAAAGACAAAACAGAGCCAAUUUUGUAUAUUUCGAUCCCGGAUCUGUAAAGGCUGCACCUUUCAAUCAAGGAUGAUAUCUCUAUUUUUUAAUUCGGAGGAGGAGCUCUCUAGAUCCGUAAGUCAACAAUCAUGGAUCACAUCUAAUUUGAUACAGUGUACACAAGGCAAGACAGCUCUGUUAUGACAUGUCAGAAACGAGGCAAAGGUUGUUGUGAUGCUUGUGGAAGGCAUUUUAUCAAGGGACAUCGUUGUGCUGUAUGUUUGAAGGUUUAGAGGGAUCCGGAAGCAACAAUCAACACCGAUGGUGUGUUGUGACUUUUUUGCCAGCGCUGGUGGGGGUCUCUUGUGUGAUGGAAUCAGGGAUGAGAAAUAUAUUUGCUGUUUCAAGUGGAUGGGAAUCUUCAAUACUAGAAGUGUUCCACUUGUGGCGGAGAAAGCUACCAGAGCAAAUUUGGAAACGAUGAUAAAGAGCUAAUUGCUAGCCUGAGAGGUAGUAGUAGUGCCCCUGUUGAUAAGUAUUGGCGCUUCCCUCCAAAUCCAACUGGAAAGCAUUGGGGGGAAAUUACAAUAAUCAGAAGAAACGGCUUCCGCAGAAAAGCAGCAGAGAGGGCCAAUAAUGUCAAGUGGUCCAAUAGAAAGCCAACAUAAUUAGUCCAGCCCGGUUUACUGGGCUUAUUCGGCCCAAAGUUAAACCUCUAUAAAAUCUCGCUCUGCAGUGAUGAAUGAUCAACGUCGUUUCCAGUUUUACCUCUUCUCCAAGUUCUUUUGCAUCAUCAUCAGAUCAUGGACAUGGACAAUCAGGAAAUUGCUGUUGCUUUGGCUGGUGCUACCCCUUUCCAGGUAACAUGGGUUACCCAGCGAUUUCUCCUUGGCGAUAUUGUGUCUGUGAGACUCUUCGCAAAGUCGCUCCUUAUGCGUCUCACCGAGGCCGAGAAAGAGACUUUGGCGAGCAACCUGAUCCGACUUCCCUCUUCUACAGUUACUCGCUUUGAUCUUUGAUCUCUGCUUUGAGUUUAGAACUCCUAAACUCUUUACUCUUUGUUGCUUCUUUGAGUUUCAAACUCUGCUUUGUGUUUUAUCUGCAUCAUACCUAAAACUCUUCGUUGUGUUUAAAACUCUUUUAUCAAUGUUCAGUACCGUACCGAACU